rnacentral:rRNA from 1 species
UAGGGAAUCUUAAGCAAUGGGCGAAAGCCUGACGGAGCAACGCCGCGUGAGUGAUGAAGGUCCUCGGAUCGUAAAACUCUGUUAUUAGGGAAGAACAAAUGUGUAAGUAACUAUGCACGUCUUGACGGUACCUAAUCAGAAAGCCACGGCUAACUACGUGCGAGCAGCCGCGGUAAUACGUAGGUGGCAAGCGUUAUCCGGAAUUAUUGGGCGUAAAGCGCGCGUAGGCGGUUUUUUAAGUCUGAUGUGAAAGCCCACGGCUCAACCGUGGAGGGUCAUUGGAAACUGAAAAACUUGAGUGCAGAAGAGGAAAGUGGAAGUCCAUGUGUAGCGGUGAAAUGCGCAGAGAUAUGGAGGAACACCAGUAGCGAAGGCGACUUGCUGGUCUGUAACUGACGCUGAUGUGCGAAAGCGUGGGGAGCAAACGGG